AAAUGAAUAGACGGGGGCCCGCACAAGCAGUGGAGUAUGUGGUUUAAUUCGAAGCAACGCGAAGAACCUUACCAGGGCUUGACAUGGGGACGACCGGAGCAGAGAUGCUCCUUUCCUUCGGGACGUCCCACACAGGUGGUGCAUGGUUGUCGUCAGCUCGUGUCGUGAGAUGUUGGGUUAAGUCCCGCAACGAGCGCAACCCUUACGGUUAGUUGCUACGCAAGAGCACUCUAGCCGGACUGCCGUUGACAAAACGGAGGAAGGUGGGGACGACGUCAAAUCAUCAUGCCCCUUAUGUCCUGGGCUACACACGUACUACAAUGGCGGCAUUACAGAGGGAGGCAAAGCAGCGAUGCGGAGCAAAUCCCUAAAAGCCGCCCCAGUUCGGAUUGCAGGCUGCAACCCGCCUGCAUGAAGUCGGAAUUGCUAGUAAUCGCGGAUCAGCAUGCCGCGGUGAAUACGUUCCCGGGCCUUGUACACACCGCCCGU
rnacentral:rRNA from 1 species